rnacentral:rRNA from 1 species
CCCUUAGAUGUUCUGGGCUGCACGCGCGCUACACUGAUGCGUUCAACGAGUUUUUAGCUUAUCUGAUAAGAUUGGCUAAUCUUCUGAAAACGCAUCGUGAUGGGGAUAGAUUAUUGUAAUUAUUAAUCUUCAACGAGGAAUUCCUAGUAGGUGUGAAUCAUCAGUUCACGCCGAUUACGUCCCUGCCCUUUGUACACACCGCCCGCCGCUCCUACCGAUUGAGUGAUCCGGUGAAUAAUUCGGACCGGUGAGCUUCCAGGUUUACCUGGCUGCUUGCUGGAAAGUCUAGUGAACCUUAUCACUUAGAGGAAGGAGAAGUCGUAACA